rnacentral:rRNA from 1 species
AUUGAACGCUGGCGGAAUGCUUUACACAUGCAAGUCGAGCGGCAGCGCGGGGCAACCUGGCGGCGAGCGGCGAACGGGUGCGUAAUACAUCGGAACAUGUCCAGUCGUGGGGGAUAACCUGGCGAAAGCCAGGCUAAUACCGCAUGCGCUCGGGAGAGGAAAGCGGGGGACCGUAAGGCCUCGCGCGAUUGGGUUGGCCGAUGUCCGAUUAGCUAGUUGGCGGGGUAAGAGCCCACCAAGGCGAUGAUCGGUAGCUGGUCUGAGAGGAUGAUCAGCCAGACUGGGACUGAGGCAGGGCCCAGACUCCUACGGGAGGCAGCAGUGGGGAAUUUUGGACAAUGGGGGCAACCCUGAUCCAGCCAUUCCGCGUGAGUGAAGAAGGCCUUCGGGUUGUAAAGCUCUUUUGUCCGGAGCGAAGCGGUUACGGGGAAUAUCCGUGACUACUGACGGUACCGGAAGAAUAAGCACCGGUUAACUACGUGCCAGCAGCCGCGGUAAGAC